rnacentral:lncRNA from 1 species
GGAAUAUUUACAUGUUCGUGGGUUUUUAAAUUCGUGGAUUUAAGUUUUCUAAAACAAAAUGAAAAAUUGAAGCCUUAGAAACGACGAUUACACUUAGUCUGGAUUGAAGGAAAUUGCUAAGUAAACAGUGACCCGUAUAAAUCGUAGUGUCAACACUUAUUAACUCAAGGUAAAGUGAUCAACAGAUUAAAGACCAUCAAAUGUGUUAAUUAGGCCAUAAACAUGUCACCUAAAGAAAACAGUAACAUAAUCAAAUGCUAUAAACAUAUCUUGAAAUGUAAAAUAUUUCUUAUCAAAAUCAAGCCCAACAUGAAAUUAUUAUUUCCCAAAUGUACGAGAACUGUGAGGAUAUAAAAUGAACACUUUAUCAUACUAGCAUAUCAAUACCGGAAAUCUGACUUCCAUCGAUCAAAAAUAUUGUAUGAGUAUUAAAAGAUAAAAGUUGUACAGUUUAGGUUAUUUAAGAUUAAAUGGAUAUAAUCCUGCAUGCAGUUGUACAGUAGUUCAUAGUUCAUUUGCCCUGUGACUACUAUUAUAGUAUUCUCAGAUUUGGCGUUUUUUCAAUAUAUUCUCUAGAUCAUUACAGUAGUCAAACUGACAUCUACAUGGAUAUCUUUCCAUGACUUGAUUUUGGUUGUUUUAUUUCGUUGGACACUUAAAUUCGUGGAUAAAGUCAUCCACGGAAACCACGAAAAUUGGUACCCCAC